AUAGCAGCACAGACAAUCGCAGCUGCAAGUGCCGAAAGGCCGCAGGUGAGGAAAGUCCGGGCUUCAUAGGGCAGGAUGCCGGAUAACGUCCGGUGGAGGCGACUCCCAGGCUAGUGCAACAGAAAAGAACCGCCGGCAAAAGGCCGGUAAGGGUGAAAAGGCGAGGUAAGAGCUCACCGCGUCUUUGGUAACAAAGACGGCGGCUGUAAACCCCAUCCGAAGCAAGACCGAACAGGAAUAAUACGGCGGCCCGUCGUGUUCCGGGUAGGUUGCUUGAGCCUGGCGGCAACGUCAGGCCUAGAUAGAUGAUUGUCUAAUACAGAACCCGGCUUAUAGUGCUGCUCAUUUU
rnacentral:RNase_P_RNA from 2 species